UUCCAUGCUUGUCCUUGCUUUCUGGGAAUCCUUUCUCUAUCCUGAAUAAAUCCAAACUUUCCAUUUUGAUAUUAAUAAUGUUCAAGUUUUCCACAGUGAAAGAUAAGUCUUUUCAAAAGCAAUCUCUGAAGUCUCCAGAAGGAUGAUGGGGCCCUACAACAACUCUACCCAGUCCAGAAUGAUGCCAUGGUAUCCACAAACAUUACUCUAUGAUCAACUUUGGACUGAAAACUCUGCAGGACAGCUCCAAGAUGAGAUGGUCCAUCAUACUAUACUUCUAGCCAGAAUCUCAGACAACUUUACCCAUUAUUCUGAGACUAGCUGCAGAAUAUACAGCUAGUCCUAUUGAGACCUAACUAUCUAUGCUUUCUUACAGAACCCCACAGAGAUGCCAUCGCCCCCUAAACAGCAGGAAGCAACUCUAAAAGAACAAUCCCCCUCUCCCAAAGGCUUCAUUUUUCUCCAGGUUAUGGCACCGAUCUGAUCCCAAGAAAAUGCUGGGCUUCUGAGACACUCCAUUUGGAAGUUUGUCUUCUUGGCACAAACUGGCCUGCUGGGCAAAGAACUGCCCUUGCCUCGACUGCUGACGGUAUGAACACUGUCCUUUUCGGAUGAGCAGGACACAAGGAAAAGUGACUACUGAACCUUGCCAAGACAGGAGGAUAGGAACCACAGCUCCAGCCAUGGCCUCCUGAGGAGGAGACACAGAAGAGGCAAGCCAGCCAUCCUGAUAUAAAGACUAUGGACUCAAGCCAAGGACAAGCCUUCAAUCUAUUCAGGGGGUUUUAUGAGACUAAGACUCCUCUGCAUGAUGAGUUGGCAAUCCAGAGGAGACCUGGCCAUUCUGUCACUCUACAAGCCUCAGGGUCUGCAGCCAAACCAUCUGGAGAUUCUUUAAGACUGAGUUAUCCUAGGUGCCUGCUAAGGAUCAGUUACAAGUCAGGAAACUAAGGAUCAACCUGCCUGAAGGGUGAAGGACAGUGACAGGAAGCUGCUGUAUUGAUGAGAAGGGCCGACAGACACCUGAGGAGUCCAGGGGCAGGACUGGGUACAGUGUGGGCCAGUAUCUCCUGGUGGCUAGGCACAGACCCUAUCACCUGAGGACACCUGUGGAGUCUGAGAAAAGCUAGUAAGGGUGCUUGCUGCUAAGCUCCACGGUGACUUCAGAUGAAGACGUCAUGAAGUACUUAGAGACAGUUUAGACCAUUCCUUGGGAGCUGGUGAGAUGGCAAAGAGAAUAAACACACUUGCCAACAA